rnacentral:rRNA from 1 species
GAUGAACGCUGGCGGCGUGCCUAACACAUGCAAGUCGAGCGAGAUUUAGUGGAUUGGAGACUUCGGUUGAAGAGAAGCUAAUGGAAGCGGCGGACAGGUGAGUAACGCGUGGGCAACCUGCCCCAUACAAAGGGAUAGCCACUGGAAACGGUGAUUAAUACCUUAUAAGUCGGUAGUUUCGCAUGAAACAGCCGACAAAGAUUUAUCGGUAUGGGAUGGGCCCGCGUUUGAUUAGCUAGUUGGUGAGGUAACGGCUCACCAAGGCGACGAUCAAUAGCCGACCUGAGAGGGUGAUCGGCCACACUGGAACUGAGACACGGUCCAGACUCCUACGGGAGGCAGCAGUGGGGAAUAUUGCACAAUGGGCGCAAGCCUGAUGCAGCAACGCCGCGUGAGUGAUGAAGGCCUUCGGUCGUAAACGUACUGUCCUAUGGGAAGAAUAAAAUAGACGGUACCAUAGGAGGGAGCCCGGCUAACUACGUGCCAGCAG